rnacentral:rRNA from 1 species
GGGUGCGAUCAUACCAGCACUAAUGCACCGGAUCCCAUCAGAACUCCGAAGUUAAGCGUGCUUGGGCGAGAGUAGUACUAGGAUGGGUGACCUCCUAGGAAGUUCUCUUGUUGCACCCC